ensembl:lncRNA
CGCUGCCUUUACACUGGGCGACAGAAUGACUGCGCGCAUAGCAAGUAAGAGUCAGCCUCACACUUUACAUCACGAGUGUCAAACGCAUUCCACGGAGUCUCUUGCAUCUGCAGUUGGCUUACCUUUCAAUGAAGACCUAGACAACCAGGUGAGGGGAGUUCCUUACUAAUUAGUGACCUAAAUUGAUCAAUCGAGGGAGGAGCGAAAACCUGUAGACACUCUGUGCUCUGUGGAAUGAGUUUGUGCUUUACAUCAUUGAUUGUGUAUGUUUUGUUGUAGUGUGGCAUGACUGAUCUCCAAAUGUUAUUUUUGAUGCAAGGGUCAGUCUGGACUAUCCUUUAAAGUCGGCUGCAAUUUCGGAACCCUCCCUGUCUUCUCCUUUCAGAUGAUUUGGUGACAUUUGCAGCAGACCAAAGAAACCCAUGCCCCAGAGGCUGGUUCCAAUUUAAUUCACGCUGCUUCAUGUUUGUCAAAACUGCAAGGACAUGGCCCAAUGCAGAGCGCCACUGUCAGUUACUUGGACAAAAACUGAAGCCUGUGUACAACACUGUAAAGUACCUUGGCGCAAACCUGGCAUCUGUGCACAGCUAUGAAGAGUCCCAAUUUCUACAGGCGGUGGUGUUGAUCACGACUGGCAGUUUCCCUCUUACCUGGAUUGGCGGAUUUGAUGCUGUUCAAGCAAAGGUGGAAAAGGUACCCAAAGUGAAGAUGCCUUAAUACUUAAGACUAAUAAAACCAUCAGCUCGGAGUAGGUGUUAAGACACUGGUCAGACAACUCUGUGCCAGGAGUAAUCAACUGGCCAGUUUCUCAGCUGGUAAUGACCACAGUUUGAGGUACCGCAGAGGAAAGAUUGACAUUCGCAACUCGAGUUCUACGUGGAAUUUGGAUAUUACCAUUUUAAUAACUGUAAAUUGCUUUGGCACAGUAGGCAUGAAGUUACUUGCCUACCUUUUAACCAGACACUAUUCAAGUAAACAUGGCCCAAUGUCAUCUCUUUAAACUGAUAUUAAUGUGACUUUAAGUAUUUAGGCAUGUGACCUAUGCCUCGUGAAGUCAUUGUCAAAAGCAAAAGAAAUACUGUUGGUUGUAGGUCUAGAUUUGAGUUGAGCAUCUCGAAAUAUCCAGAGCAAUUGCCACAGAUGAUCCAUUAGAUGAUCCAUUAGAUGAUCCAUUAGAUGAUCCAUUAGAUGAUCCAUUAGAUGAUCCAUUAGAUGAUCCAUUAGAUGAACCAGAUACUCCAUUGGCCUCUAACGAUGUGAAGAGUCUGCAAUGUCGGGCAGAUUCGAGGGACAGGCACAACUCGGAGAGAAAUGUUUUUCUCAGUUUCUGGCAUGUCAUGUGUGCUACUUGUAUCAGUACUCGUAACGACCUAAGCAUUACAAAACGUAUAUAUUUGCUCAAAUAAGCCAUUAUGUUUUUCGUUAAUUAAAUUUGCCAUCUUAUUGACGGCCAUACAAAAACGAGUUGCUUGGUGACCAGGAAAAACGCUACCCGCUUGAGAAGGCAGAUUUUGGGCUUAUAGUUAUCCUUCUCGCUUCGCCUCUUCCUCUUUGCUAUGGCGCAGAAACGACUUACUAGCUGUCUUUUUCUAAUUUUGGGAUUUCUAGAAAUGUGUAUCAACACUUGUGUAUUUUUUUCACCCAACAGUUCCAGUGUCAGUCUGCACGUUUUGCUAGUGGUGGCUUUUACCGUUUUGUUGGAGGAAAGACCAUGAGUGUUGUAUUUUAGAAAUUGUUCAGCAAGCACAUGUAACAUUUGAUACUGAGAUCUCACUACUUCCACACAGGACAGGCUAUGGUUCUGGAGUGACGGCUCCAAAUUUGAUCACGAGAGCUGGGCUGAAGGGGAGCCGAAUAACAACAAUGGUGCCAGAGAGCCAUGUAUUCAUUUCAACUUUGGAGGUACAUUAUCAUUCAUCAAAUUAAACUUUUUUGAGUAAGUUUAACAAAUAAAUGUGAGCUACUUUUCUCUUUUCGAGUGUACAUCGAGAGGUAAUUUCUAUUUCGUGUUUCCUCUUAAGCUGAAAACGGCUGGAACGAUGUCUCAUGUGGAAAGAGCUAUCCCUCCGUGUGCUCCAUAAGAACCUGUUUAAUCCUUCAAACUGUCAAUUGAAACAGAAAAUGCUACUCUGGUGUCAGCAUCCUAACUGCAAAUGUUUCAUGUUAUAGUGAAUUACUUUGAAGGUAUUUGUUGCUGUAAAAUACAUUUGACUUGUUGUGUAACUAUUGUAGCUUGUUGUCAAUAAAACUGGUGUACGUAUUUAAUCUCAUGAGUCGUUAUUUAACAUUGCUUCACUUUGUUUCUUGAAGAUGCAGUCUGGGUGGGCAUUUCAAUUCUUUGAUCCAUUGUUUCUUGAAGAAUAGGAUUCUAUGAGGACCCAAAAAGUUGUCUUACUCCACAAACAUUAACGUAAACGAACAGU